rnacentral:hammerhead_ribozyme from 1 species
ACUGCGCUGACGAGCUCCAAAAGGGCGAAACAGCUGUCCGCAGU